CUGUAGCUCAGUGGAUAGAGUGUCUGACUCCGACUCAGAAGGCCGCAGGUUCAAAUCCUGUCAG
rnacentral:tRNA from 1 species